CAUAAUGGCCCAAAUUCCAGCCUGAACUUUAGAAAUUAAAGCAGAAGCUGCGACAAAUUAAAAUUAAAAUUAACUUGUGCAUUAUAUUGGUAAUAGUGCUUGCAAAGUUCAAACUAAUAGUUGAGAAAUUAGUCCAAUAGUUGAAAUUCAGUCAAAUCUAAAUACAUCUUAAUGUAUAUUCAUAUUCAUAUAUUUUAAUCUUAAUAAAAACAAACGACCUUUAAGAUGAGCUGAAAUGAAACGACCUGAUCCACAAUAAUUCAUAUAGUCGAUCUCAACCUACUUGGAUUAAAAUCUCAUAAUUGUUAGUAAUUAUAUGAUUCUCUUCAUCCAUUGAGAGAAUUCAUCACAUCUUGGUAUAACAUACCAUUUGUCUGAUCUGCCCCAUUUAUUUGACCCGCACUAUUAUUUUUUUCUUUAUUUCUUACCACCUUGACUGGACGGAGAUCAUGACUGAAAAUCACAAAUCAAAAAACUCGCCAAAGACCUCGCUUGACUUGGCUCCUUGAAACCCAACUCAAAAAAUCAAAUACCAGUGGAGAAGAAAGUGAGUUGUCAGAUCUUGUUUUAAAAAAAAGUCGAGAGUUUGGUUUUGGCAGUAGUGCAUUUUUGGGUGGUGUUGGGGCUGUUUCGCUGGAGAAAACUGACUAGAUAACGUGAUGGCUAUGAAGAUGCUUUAGUGACUUUUGGGGGUGUUAGAAGGCUAUGAUCUGGAUAAAAUGGAUGGUUACCUGGCUAAAAUGGGAUGCUGUUUUGGAGCUGUUGCACAGUGGCGCGUACCAACUGUAUUUUAAGGCUGUUUGGGUUUUUUUGGUGGUUUUGCUGCUAUUUACGGACAGAAAAGGGUUAUUUUUUGGGCUGAUUUUUGGGUAGGAUGAAAGGGUAUGAUGAAAGGCUGUAGGAUAAGAGAGAUUGUGCGGCGGUAAUGGUGGAGAUGAUUUGUAAAGUAAAAAAUGAGAUUAGUCAAUUGAGAAUAGUGAGGAAGGAGAGUGGAUUGAAGGAAGCUGCAAUUGGUAUUGAUUUUCUUUUCAAGGCAAGUAGAAGAAGAAAGGGGAUGGGUGGUCUGGUGGGUGGGACUAGGUAGUGGUGCUUAUUGGGC
rnacentral:lncRNA from 1 species